AAAGAAAGCGCAUCUUCCCUAAUCGUACCUCUAUUGCUAUUGGUAUGAUGCGAUUAGGUUCGUAUGAGAUCAAGACCGCAAGACUUGAAGAGUCUACGUCGCACUUGCAAACUGCCUUGUCGUUUUUGCAAGACAACCUACCUACUAGUCAUUACACAGCAGAUUGUCACUUUUACCUUGCUACGUUAUUCCUUGCCAUGAAAGAAGCACACCAAGCCAGUCUAC